AUGCCGCGUCUGGUCGGCGCCCAAAAUCCCCACCGAAAAGUCCCCCGUGCUGCGCGCGGAGGGACACAUGGUGUGCGAAUCAUAGAGGCAAAGUCAGAUGAAGAUUCAGUGAGAAGGCAGUCAUCUUCAAAAAAGCCCUCACCAGGAAAUGAACUGGCUGGCAUCUUGAUCUUGGACUUCCUGGCCUGUAGAACUAUAAGAUUUCUGAUAUUUAAGCCACUUAGUCUAUGGUAUUUUGUUGUGUCAGCCCACGCCAGCCAAAACAAUGUAUCUCAAGUUUUGCACAGAUUAAUAAAGAUCCAUUCAAAAAAGAAUCAUCAUAACUAUAAGCUGUGUUUUGUUCUUAAGAUUAAGUACAAUCAACAUAGUCUGUAAUUCCUUUACAGUUUAGGAACAGUGACUUCUUUUAGAUUUGUCAAGUAACUAUUGGGAAACCCUCCAAUUUGUUUAAUUUUUCCAAAUUGUAAUUUGUAUAUUGGGAAUUGCUUGGAAUUUGGGAUCCUCUCCUGUUUUUGAAUUGAAAUAAAAGGUAUGUUACUGCAGGUGGAAACUCAUUCACUUAAUAGACUGGAAGUAGUGUUAAACAUGUAAUCGAUAUUUAAUUAUACUAAGGAAUUAUUGAUUAUGUUUAGCUCUGAUGUUUUGCUAUGAUUAAUUUUUUAAGAUACCGAAAAAUUUAAGAGAAAAUAUUGGUACCUAGAAUUUGUUUCAAAAUUUCAGAAUCAGGGCAAGGUGUAAAUAGUUCACAAUAUCAAAGAAACAAGUAGUCAGCAGAUGAUAAUUAUAGACACUGGAAGAUAGAUGCACAGAUUUCCUUUUUGUCUCUAUACUUAAACAUGUUUAAAUUUUCUAUAAUGAUUUUUAAUAUAAGUUAUGAUUGUGUAUAAUUAAUUACUACACUUAGGCUUUCACAUCUCAUCUUCCAUUAUUAUGUGUGGUUUGUUACUGCUAAUGUUAAUGUAUUAAAGAAUCUUCAAUUUAUGUGUCUUAGUAAGCAUGAAAAUUAAAAUGCUAAACAAUAGUACACAUUAAACUUCAUUUGCCAUACAUUUAUUUAGCAGCUGCUAAGUGCUUUCAUUGUAGGUUAUCUCAAAUCUCUGCAAGGUGAGUGUUACUACCCAUUUCACAAAUAAUAAAAUGUUGAUCCUAGAUAAAUAUUAUGCAGGUAGAAAAUAAGAAAAUUAUGAAUUUUACCCAUGUGAUUCCCAAAAAAAUUUAUAUUUUAUUUCUACCAGAUUAUGCUGCUUCUCAGACAUGGCUGACUGUCUUUUUCCCCAAUCUGUUUUCCUUUUGCAAGUGAAAGUCUGGCCCAACAAAUGGAAUAAAAUUCAUAUGUGAAAAUGUGGAAGUUCUUUGUCCACUCCUUUCAUGUUAAAGCAAUAAAGAUAUUGUGAAAAAAAUAUUUUUAAAAAAGAAGGGGAAGAGAAAGAUCUCUCUCUUCUCAAGAUCAUAGAGGAAAAGGCAUAUGAAGAUUCCAUGACAAGGCAAUCAUCUUCAAAAAAGCAUUUAUCAGGAAAUGAACCAGCUGGCAUCUUGAUCUUGGAUUUCCUGGCCUGUAGAACUGUAAGAUUUUUGUAAGAGUCUGAAGGCAGGCAUUAAAAUUGGACUAUACCUUAAGGAAUCCAUAGAACAGUGAAUUACAAAAUUCUAGAUCUAACUCAUUAAUUUUGAUUCUUCAAGAAUUCUUUUGAUCAUUAUUCCAUGUAUUUGUGUCUGUUACUGUUCAAGAUACUGAAGUAAUACUUUCUCAUCUUACUUUCAGAAUAUUAAGAGCUCAACUCCAACACACUUGCCUCCAUUUGUGUCCCUGUCUACUUAUAUCCCCUCAAUUAGAAUCCACAUCUGCAUAGCUCACGAGAUGGGAUAAGUACAAGUUAGAAACUUCCCCCAACUAACACUGAGCAGCCAGCCCUGCCAUUCAGUCUUUGCUUUGUCCUUUCCCUUCCAAAGACACUCCCAAGUUUGUAGUAGAAGGAGUUUGAAAUCAUCAUUAUCAAUAGUCUAUUAUAAGACACCAACUUCUUAUUUCU
rnacentral:lncRNA from 1 species